rnacentral:rRNA from 1 species
GGGCCCGCACAAGCGGUGGAACAUGUGGUUCAAUUCGACGCAACGCGAAGAACCUUACCUGGGCUUGAACCGCACAGGACCAGUUCCAGAAAUGGGACCUUCCCGCAAGGGACCUGUGUAGAGGUGCUGCAUGGCUGUCGUCAGCUCGUGCCGUGAGGUGUUGGGUUAAGUCCCGCAACGAGCGCAACCCUUACUCAUAGUUGCUACCCGCAAGGGAGAACUCUAUGAGGACUGCUCCGGAUAACGGAGAGGAAGGUGGGGAUGAGGUCAAGUCAGCAUGGCCUUUAUGUCCAGGGCUACACACGUGUUACAAUGCGCGCUACAGAGCGUUGCAAACCCGCGAGGGGGAGCUAAUCGCAAAAAAGCGCGCUCAGUUCGGAUUGCAGUCUGCAACUCGACUGCAUGAAGCCGGAAUCGCUAGUAAUGGCGCAUCAGAACGGCGCCGUGAAUACGUUCCCGGGCCUU